rnacentral:pre_miRNA from 1 species
UUUGGACUUCUCGAGAUAUGGGCUGAACACUGAACAGUGUCUGGGCUGUAGGACAUAUUCAGACUUCUCUUUUGAUGCUAAGAUUUGGACUUCCAAACAACAGAAUUGAGUCCUGGACUCUUCCUGAAUGUUUUAGGCCUAUGUCUUAGCUUUCUAGC